ACUAGUUGGAGCACCCCUGCAGGGUUAAAUCUUUCCGAGAAACGUGAUCGCGGUUAUGUGGCAACUUGUAAACUUUGUUUAAGACCCGGGCAUAGAAAAAAAAUGAAGUGACCUUAAUUAAAAACUUGCCAACUAUGUGUGUAACCGUGACUGUCUCUUCUCAUGAGCUCUGUAUCUGAAAGAGGACACGAUGGGGUUAUGUUCAUUAUUAGUUCACGUCCGUUU
rnacentral:lncRNA from 1 species